CGUUGCGGCAGCUACACAUGCAGUCGAGCGGAACGAUCCUAGCUUGCUAGGAGGCGUCGAGCGGCGGACGGGUGAGUAAUGCAUAGGAAUCUGCCCGGUAGUGGGGGAUAACUUGAGGAAACUCAAGCUAAUACCGCAUACGCCCCAAGGGGGAAAGCAGGGGAUCUUCGGACCUUGCGCUAUCGGAUGAGCCUAUGUCGGAUUAGCUAGUUGGUGAGGUAAUGGCUCACCAAGGCCGCGAUCCGUAGCUGGUCUGAGAGGAUGAUCAGCCACAUCGGGACUGAGACACGGCCCGAACUCCUACGGGAGGCAGCAGUGGGGAAUAUUGGACAAUGGGCGAAAGCCUGAUCCAGCCAUGCCGCGUGUGUGAAGAAGGCCUUCGGGUUGUAAAGCACUUUCAGCGAGGAAGAACGCUUGUGGGUUAAUACCCCGCAAGAAGGACAUCACUCGCAGAAGAAGCACCGGCUAACUCCGUGCCAGCAGCCGCGGUAAUACGGAGGGUGCAAGCGUUAAUCGGAAUUACUGGGCGUAAAGCGCGCGUAGGCGGCUUGAUAAGCCGGUUGUGAAAGCCCCGGGCUCAACCUGGGAACGGCAUCCGGAACUGUCAG
rnacentral:rRNA from 1 species